rnacentral:lncRNA from 1 species
GAACAAAGGCCUGGAGACUGGAACGAGCUGCGUUCUUGGGGGUGGGGUGGGGGGGCGGCAGCUGGAGAGUGGGGGCUUCCCCAGCGGGAGGGGGAGGACGAUUCUGAAUGGCUUCCGUCCUUGUGGACAGAGUGAGUCUCUGCUAUGAGAAAGGUGUUCUACAUACGGCUCGGGAGCCAGCAAGUGCUUAUGAAGCCCCUUCACAUGGCCAGUAGCGUCCUAAGGGCCCGGCGACAAUUAGUCAUGGCGUCAUCGAACGCCAGGCUGGAGGAGGUCUUGGAUGCCGCAGCUCCUUUUGAAUUUCAAAGACGUUCAAAUCCCCAUCUGGCUGUUACACUUUUAGGCUAUUGAGAGUGAAAACAAGCACUGACAUGAACACCCAACCAGCUGCUGGUGACAUUGUCCCCUUCUGAGAUCUGAGGACAUGAACACCCAACCACCUGCCGGUGACAUUGUCCCCUUCUGAGAUCUGAGGACAUGAACACCCAACCACCUGCCGGUGACAUCGUCCCCUUCUGAGAUCUGAGGACAUGGACACCCACCCACCUGCCGGUGACAUUGUCCCCUUCUGAGAUCUGAGGACAUGAACACCCAACCACCUGCCGGUGACAUCGUCCCCUUCUGAGAUCUGAGGACAUGGACACCAAACCACCUGCCGGUGACAUCGUCCCCUUCUGAGAUCUGAGGACAUGAACACCCAACCACCUGCCGGUGACAUCGUCCCCGUCUGAGAUCUGAGGACAUGGAUACCCAACCACCUGCCAGUGACAUCGUCUCCUUCUGAGAUCUGAGGACAUGGACACCCAACCACCUGCCGGUGACAUCGUCCCCUUCUGAGAUCUGAGGACAUGAACACCCAACCACCUGCCGGUGACAUCGUCCCCUUCUGAGAUCUGAGGACAUGAACACCCAACCACCUGCCGGUGACAUCGUCCCCUUCUGAGAUCUGAGGACAUGGAUACCCAACCACCUGCCGGUGACAUCGUCCCCUUCUGAGAUCUGAGGACAUGAACACCCAACCACCUGCCGGUGACAUCGUCCCCUUCUGAGAUCUGAGGACAUGGAUACCCAACCACCUGCCAGUGACAUCGUCUCCUUCUGAGAUCUGAGGACAUGGACACCCAACCUGCUGCCGGUGACAUCGUCCCCUUCUGAGAUCUGAGGACAUGGACACCCAACCACCUGCCAGUGACAUCGUCUCCUUCUGAGAUCUGAGGACAUGGGCACCCAACCUGCUGCCGGUGACAUCGUCUCCUUCUGAGGUCUGAGGACAGACACUCACAUGGACACCUAAACACCUGCCGAUGAUAUUGUCUCCUGAAAUCUGAGGACAUGGACACCCAACCUGCUGCCAGUGACAUCGUCCCCUUCUGAGAUCUGAGGACAUGGACACCAAACCACCUGCUGGUGACAUCGUCUCCUUCUGAGAUCUGAGGACAUGGACACCCAACCUGCUGCCGGUGACAUUGUCCCCUUCUGAGAUCUGAGGACAUGGACACCCAACCACCUGCUGGUGACAUCGUCUCCUUCUGAGAUCUGAGGACAGACACAUAGACGCCCAAUCAGCUGCUGGUGACAUUGUCUCCUUCUGAAAUCUGAGGGUUGGAACACAUUGGGCUGGCUCAGUGUUUCUCCAUGUGGUUUUGAGACCACCUGAGUUGGAACCGAUAUGGGUUCCCAGCCUCACGCCUGGAGAGCUGGAUUUUGCGAGUGUGAGGUUAGGUCCAGCAUCUGCAUGUGUAAUGAGCUCCCAGGUGUUUCGUAGAUGCAUUAGGGCUUGAGAAGCUCCUUUCUAGCACCAUCUUCCUUUUUGCACAUGAGGGCGUUCAGGUCCAGAGAAAUAAAGCAGCAAGGUUGGUGGC